UUACGGCCAUAUCACAUUGAAACACCGGUUCUUCUCGGACGAUCACCGAAGUUAAGCAACGUCGAGCCUGGUCAUUACGUAGAUGGGUGACCGCUUGGGAAUACCAGGUGAUGUAAG